GGGACGUAGCGCAGCUUGGUAGCGCGCAGCGUUCGGGACGCUGAGGUCGUGGGUUCGAAUCCCGCCCUCCCCA
rnacentral:tRNA from 1 species